GAUGAAGAACGUAGCGAAAUGCGAUACGUAAUGUGAAUUGCAAAUUCAGUGAAUCAUCGAGUCUUUGAACGCACAUUGCGCCCCCUGGUAUUCCGGGGGGCAUGCCUGUCCGAGCGUCAUUGCUGCCCUCAAGCACGGCUUGUGUGUUGGGCCCCGUCCUCCGAUUCCGGGGGACGGGCCCGAAAGGCAGCGGCGGCACCGCGUCCGGUCCUCGAGCGUAUGGGGCUUUGUCACCCGCUCUGUAGGCCCGGCCGGCGCUUGCCGAUCAACCCAAAUUUUUAUCCAGGUUGACCUCGGAUCAGGUAGGGAUACCCGCUGAACUUAAGCAUAUCAAUAAGCGGAGGA
rnacentral:misc_RNA from 1 species